GCGUUUGUGGUUUAGUGGUAAAAUCCAUCGUUGCCAUUUCGGUUUGAGUGAUUCAAUUCGAUCUGAUUCGAUGGGCCCCGGGUUCGAUUCCCGGCGAACGCA